GAGGACAUCUAACCUACAAAUAUGAGGAAUACAACAUGAGAACUAAUGUAACAGUGGGAGGGAAGACGAGUGUCUGAGUGGGAGGCAGAGAGAGAAACAAACCCUGCACAGUAAAUGGGCGUGGAAGUUUCGCAGAGUUUCAUUCCAGACUCUCCUUCCUGUCAUUCAACAACUUAUAUGGCUCUGGAAUUCCACUGAUUCAGAAGCUGUUGUCUAACACGGUCACAGGAGUGUUUGGACGACCACAUGCAGGGAUUUAAACUUUUAUGAUUUUAAGGAGGACGCUUCAGAUUGCACCUGUCACUGGAAUCUUCCUGAGGAGACAAGAAGAAAAUACACCUGCCGAUUACUUUAAUAUCUGAUAACAGAGUGGACAAACUUUGCUUCAUAGAACGAGUCAGCUCACAUUGAUCAGAGAUGUCAAACUCAGCUGAGACGCAUGUAACGGUGGAAGAAGAGAUCCCGUUGAAUACUGUACCAGGAACAGGCGACGCAGAAAACAACGACACUUGUGAUGAAGGAGUAAUCAGCGCUGCUCCUUUCUGCACAGACAAGCAUCACAGGAAACUGGCCAUCUGCAGCAUCAUCUGUGGGGUCUCCUGCAUCGGAGUCAAAGCUCUGAUCUACUCAGUCAAGGCCGAGAUGUCGGAGGAUCUAGAAGCAGCUCAGAAUCUUUCACAACGGGCGAAAAAAUUCAGCAUCAUCUCCAUCGUGAUUUGGGUCCUGAUUGUGGCGUCAUUUCCCUUGUUAAUGG